rnacentral:rRNA from 1 species
GACGAACGCUGGCGGCGUGCUUAACACAUGCAAGUCGAACGGAACGGCCCUGCUUUUUUGGGGUGCUCGAGUUGCGAACGGGUGAGUAACACGUGAGUAACCUGCCCUUGACUUUGGGAUGACUUCAGGAAACUUGGUCUAAUCCCGGCUAGGAGCUCCUGCUGCAUGGUGGGGGUUGGAAAGUUUCGGCGGUUGGUGAUGGAAUCGCGGCGUAUCAGCUUGUUGGUGGGGUAGUGGCUUACCAAGGCCUUGCGGGGUAGCAGGGCUGAGAGGGUGACCUGCCACAUUGGGACUGAGAUACGGCACAGACUACUACGGGACGCAGCGGUGGGGAAUAUUGCACAAUGGGCGGAAGCCUGAUGCAGCAACGCCGCGUGGGGGAUGACGGCCUUCGGGUUGGAAUCCGCUUUCGCCUGUGACGAAGCGUGAGUGACGGUAAUGGGUAAAGAAGCACCGGCUAACUACGUG